CCGGCUGUCCCUCGCGUCCGGGCCGAGAAGGCGCUGAGGGUCAGCAGUGCGGUCAAAAGCGGCUCCCCUCGUCAGGCGCCGUGUAAACACGAGGUUUAUACACGAGGUUUAAACACGGCCGGACCGUUAAAAAGUGAACAUGGGGAGAACUUUCCAGGCAGUGUGAAACACAGAUAGAACAUUUUGCUCCCUUUUGGUGUAGCUGGACACUCAGAUGACCUAGCAGGAACUGAGAAAAAUUGAGAGAAGACGGGAGGUAGCCGUCUGCGCUCCUGAUUUUUCCUGCAUCUGCUAUGGACUGAACUCACAGUAAGCUUGCUGUAAUGAACGGCAUGUCCCCGGGAAUUGCCAACUUCCCAAGCUUGUUACCAUAUUUUGUCGUCUUUGUUACUUAUGCAUUUCCUAUGGUUGUCAGAAGAGAAAAGGGUAAAUUAUCUGGACUAGUAUCAAAACUAGUUUUUCAUAAAACCCGAUAUAAUAUAUCUCAAUGUCUGUUUUCAUGAAAAAUUAUUUCUGUUUUAUGGGUAUUUGCCGGAUACCUUGAUUAGGCAUAAUACGUAUCAGUUUAUGGACAGGUUUGCAGUGACCACACUUCAUCAGGAUUAGUUUUGAUGUUUGAAGGCAUGUUUCAGGCUCUAAGGGACGAUUCACAAGAAUUUUGUGUUCAUCAGGAUUUGGGGUUUUUUAUAUAAAUACCAUGACCAAUGAAGAUUUCAAGUAAUUUGAGUUCUUUAAAAAAAAAUAAAUAAAAAUCACGAGACUAAUUAAGCCAUGACUUGGUGCGUUUUCUGUCAAAGGGUAAAGAUAAGAAAAACCUUGUUAAUUAUUUCAAAGUCACAUUUUAUCGUACAUAAAAACGCAUUUGCCCUUUUGAACCAACGAGGGCCAAGAAGUUGCCAAAAACUUGUGUUCACACAGCCCCCUCGUGGUCAAAGCCUUCAGAGUCUCACAACCACCUCUACUCACAGGAAGGAGGGAAGGGUCAAAGCAGGCUGAUGCAAAUUAAAGUGCUGCAACCUUGGCUCGCAAAAGGCAUGGUCACCUGCUGGAAUAAAGACAUGCCAUGCCCAUUACAAGGCUAAUCUUCACUGUGCAGUUUCCCCAAAUAUAUUACAGCCUCUUGAAAGCUGAUGAGGAGGUAAAAUGACUGGAGGCAAGCCAGCUGUUGGGAAUUCUGAUUCAUGGGUUGACAGUAUGGGGUUACAGGAUAAACAUUGUGGGAUUGGAGCACCAAGCUAUUAGAGUCUGAGUAGUAACUGCAACUUGAGAAGAAUGGAACCGUAAUUCAUCCAGAUUGUGAUGGCUCCAGAGUGUGGUAUUGCUCUGGUGUCUUGAUCAUAUUUCCCACAGAAGGAAUUUAUGCUUCCUUUGAAUCUUGUCCAUUUUGCAGACCUGGAGGUGUGAGGUGUGGUCCAGAGGAUUUUCUCACAGAGCAAAGAGAGGACAAAACAUCUGAAGAACUCUCUUUUCCAAGCAAAGAGUGAACUGAGCACUGACAUUAAAACUAUGCCCUGCAGUCUUGAUGACUGUAGAAGGAAAAGCUUUUUGACAGACAAAUUGUCUUUGUUCAGGCAAUAUUAUUUGGUUCAUUCCUCCCUGAAGGUGACCAACAAUUCCAGCUAGUGAAAAAAAGACUGUUGCUAAAGAUGGUCAGAAAUCCUUCUGUAUCCAGCAUUUCAAUUGUUUCUGUAAAUGCAAGGUUUUCUCUAUGAUAAAUAGAAUGUGAGAAUUCUGUCCCAAUCACAUUUCAAAACGUAUAACUGUGUGUUUAUGUGUAUUUAGCAUUAUCUCCUUAGCUGCCAGAAGUAAAGAAGCAGCAUUUAUAAUUUUUUCCUUUUGUUUAUUUUUACAUUUUUUAUUAUCUUUUAUUUUUUACCAGUCUUUACAGUUUAUGAGGUAAUGGUAGGUAGAUGGAAUUCUUCCCUUUUAGAUCAUAUAUUUCACUCUUUGUAAAUGUAAGAUAGACUAGUUUCCUCUACAUCCUAAUGGUUAAGUAAAAAACAAAGCCAUGAGAGACAUUCCCAUUCCUCCUGUAUUGCUGGAUGAGCAGCUGUUUUCCUUCAGUUUUAAAAACUGAAGUCAGAAAUUGAGAGAAAUAUAAUGUUGUUUAGUGUAAUUCAUCUGUAGACUAUUCCCUGCCUGAAAAAUGGGAAGUGUUUUAAAGACCACUAGUGUAUAGUUGUCUCAUUUCUAUGCAGUAAUCCAAAAAAUAAUAUACUUCUUUCCAGUACACAGUUAACAUAUAAAACUCAGCCAUUGUUACUCAGGUAAGUGCUGGAAAUAGAAGGGCAGCCAUUAUGACAGAUAGUGAAGUAGGAUUGGAAAUUUAUCUUAAAAAGAAUAGAAAAUCUCUUCGUUUUCAGCAGUUCUCUUCUGUAUAUCAGAAAAUUCAUAUAAAUGUAAUAUAUUUGAUGCUUUUUAAUUCCAGAUUACUAUGUCAAACCUAAAUAAUAUGAAAUUACUAGUUUUCAUUUUUCUGUCCUCGAUGGUUUUACUAUUUUGAUUUCUAUUCUCCAUAUCUAAAUAUUAACUAAUCUUUGUUUGACUUUCCAGUGUGAAAUCUGAACAAAGUAUGUAUUUCUGUAGAGUUUUAUCUAGACUCUCUAAAUAGUUUUUCUCUAGAUUCUCUCUUCUUCUCUAGAUUUUUUCAAGAUUUCUCAUAUUAUGCAGUACAGCUUUGCUUUUCAAAUCUGUUGUUUAUUUGGAGCAGUUUCCAACCAGUAUCAUAAAAAAGGAAUUUGCACUGGAGUUUCUAUACUAAUGGGUAGGAAGAGAACUUCAUUUUCUUCUGAAUACAUUUGCACUUUACUUUUGCACUUUAAAUUUAUUUGCUUUGUCCCAGAUAAACUCUAUUUUUGAAAGAAAGGUGAGAUUUUCUCUUGCUUACCAGAACAAAUUGCUGGUAUAUCAACCAAUGUCUCUCUGAAGUCUUCAAUUACAAUUUACGGUUGCUGUUGAACUGCAGUAAAAUUAAGGCAGUGAAAAUGUUGGAGGGGUGAAAGGAUUCUUGGGGUAGAGCAAUAAGCCAGAAAAUAAGUCAGCUGUGUAUUUCUAAUUAUUUCAGAGCAUACUUUAGUUAGCCCUCGCGAAGCCUAUGAAGGACAAACAUUCAGUAUAGAGUAUAAAAAAGAUGAUAGUACUGUGUUAUUUAUGAUUCUGUCAUAAAACUGGAAACGUGAAAAAAGAACCUUGACCAGCAAAUGUCUUAAAACUAAUUGUGAGAGAACAGCAGAUUAGUAAUUUGUUAUAUCUACAGUUUAUUCAUCUUCAUUUUCUUGAGUGUUUUUAUAAAGAACAUAUUGCAUUUCUAUCUUCAAUACUUCAUAAACUGUAUCUCAAAGCUCUUUAAAACCAUUAUCAAUAUCUAUAAUUACUUUCUAUUUGCUUAUCUAAUGUUAGGUCAGUUUUUCACUUCUCAAUGUUAUGACAUAUUGGAAGGUUCUUGUGAGCAAUUGUCAGCAGGUGGGUUACGGAAGUGUUUUAUCUCCUAUGAGGAUGAAGCUAAUACUGUUCUCUUUCUAAAGAGUUUUAAAAUAUUUGGAAUCUAUAUUCCAUUUUACGAGUGACUUUACAUGACUUUAAAGGUCUUCUGGCAUGUAUUUUCCAAGGAUUUCAAUGGUUGUCCAGCACCAAAAUGCUUCAAAAAAUUAGUCCUUACUGAGUGAUACCUUUAGCUUACAUUCUAUAGACAUCCUGCCCUAGUAUGUGUCAAGAGACUAUAUGUUUUAUAUAUAUAUACUAUAUCUUACAUUAAUAUUAACACAUUAGCAUUAAUACAUUAUUAAUAUAUUAGCCUAUAUGAUGUUCAGUUUUACUAAAAAAUGGAUCCAUAGUAGUGAAAAAGACUGAGGUUCUCUCAAAAUGAUGACAAUUUUCUUCUUUAGGACUUUGAAUACUCCAGAAUAUUCUUAUUCAAGACAAUGAACUCACUGGUAUUCACAAUAUUUGCCCCUGGAUGAAAGAAGGCAGUGUCCACAGCUGCCAUAGGAGUGUUGCCAGCAGUUUGAGGGAGGUGAUCCUUCCCAUCUACUAAGCACUGGUAAGGUCACACCAAGUGUUGAGUUCUGGGCUCCAUGGUAAAAGACACCUAUACAAAUACAGGAGAGGGUCCCAUGAAGCACUGGAUGGAGCUAGAGCAACUCUCAUACAAAGAAACACAGAAAACUUAAAAUCUGGUCAACUAGGAGAAGAAAAGCCUCAGAAUCACAGAGUUGGCCAGGUUAGAAGGGACCAGAGUAGUUCAAUAUGCAUGCACAAGCAGGAUCUUUUCAGAGUGCAUUGCACAGGAUCACAUCUGGAUUGUUCUUGAGUAUCUUCAGUGAGGGAGACUUCACAACUGCUCUUGGCAAUCUGUUCCAGUCACCUGCACAGUAAAAAAUCUCUUCCUCAGGUUGAGUUGGAACUUCAUGUGCAUCAGUUUGUGCCUGCUGCCUCUUGUCCUAUUGCUUGGUGUUGCCAAGCAGAGCCUGAAUCCAUUCACUGAGACACUUCAAUUUUUAUAGGCGAGCCUUUCCUUGUAUGGGAGAUGCUCCAGCCCCUAAUAAUCAUUGUCACUCACUGCUGGACCAGCUCCAGCAGCUCUGUGUCUCUCUGGUCCUGAGGAGCCCAGAACUGGACAGAGCACUCCAGAUGUGCCUCACCAGGGCUGAGUAGAGGAGCAGGAUCACCUCUCCCCCACCUGCUGGCACUGCUCUUCCCAAUGCACCCCAGGACACCAUUGGCCUUCUUGGCCACCAGGACACACUGCUGGCUCAUGGAGAGCUUGCUGUCCACCAGGAACCCCAGGUCCUUCUCCUCAGAGCUGCUUUCCAGCAGGUCAGCCCCAGCCUGUGCUGCUGCCUGGGGUUCUUCCUCCCCAGGUGCAGGAGCCUGCAUUUGCCUUUGUUGGAUUUCAGACAGUUCUUGUGUGUCCCUCUCUCCACCCUCUGAAGGGCAGCACGGCCCUCUGGGGUAUCGGCCGCUGCUGCCAGCUCUGUGUCACCAGUGAACUCGCUGAGGAGGCACCUGCCCCUUCACCAAGGCACUGAUGGAGAAGUUAAACAAUACCAGGCCCACUCUUGAAUCUGGGGUUCACCACUUGUGGCAGGCCUCCAACCAGACCCUGUGCCACUCAUAACAAUCCUCUGCGAUCUGCCAUUCAGACAGUUCUCAAUUCACCUCUCUGUCCCAUCACCCAGGCCACACUUCCUGAGUUUUGCCUGUGAGGCUGUUGUGGGAGACAGUAUUGAAAGUCCAGGUGGAACAAUAUCCACUGCUCUCCCCUCAUCCAUCUGUCCAGGCAGUUGUUUCACUGUGGAAAGCAAUCAGAUUGGCCAGGCAUGAUGUCCCUUUGCUGAAGCCAUGCUGACUCCAUCCUGAUCCCCUUCUUGUCAUCCAUGCGGAUAGAGACGGCCUCCAGAAUGAGGUGGUCCAUCACCUUUUCAGGGACUGAGGUGAGGAGUCCCCGAGUAGUCCCCUGAGUCCUCCUUCUUGCCCUUUGUGAAGACUGGGGUGACAUUUGCUUUUUUCCAGUCCAGAGGAACCCCUCCUGAUUCUUCAUGACCUUUCAAAGUGGCCCAGCCAUGGUGUUCACCAGCUCUUUCAGCAUUCAUGGAUGCAUCCUGUCAGGACCUAGACUGGUUGAUGCCAGGUUUGCCUAGAGGUUCUCCAGUCUAAUAACCUUUUGACCAAGGAAAUUUUCCUUCUAACGUUCCUCUAUCGUGAUCUCCUGGUUCAGAGAUUCCUGAGGGCUGGUCUUGUCUAUUCUAUGAUUUUUGUUCUUAAUAUACUAUGAUUUCAGGAUGUAUUAACUGAUUAUUUCUGUAGAAUAGAAAUCUUGAGACUAAACUGUCUUGUAUUAAAUUCUUUAAUAAACAUAUGAAUAAGGAA